rnacentral:rRNA from 1 species
UACAGGGGGUGCAAGCGUUGUCCGGAAUCACUGGGCGUAAAGGGCGCGUAGGCGGCCUGAUAAGUAGGGGGUGAAAUCCUGGGGCUUAACCUCAGGGCUGCCUUAUAGACUGUCCGGCUCGAGCACAGUAGAGGCAGGUGGAAUUCCCGGUGUAGCGGUGGAAUGCGUAGAGAUCGGGAAGAACAUCGGUGGCGAAGGCGGCCUGCUGGGCUGUAGCUGACGCUGAGGCGCGAAAGCGUGGGGAGCAAACAGG